rnacentral:rRNA from 1 species
CCAGAGAACUUAGCAGAGAUGCUUUGGUGCCUUCGGGAACUCUGAGACAGGUGCUGCAUGGCUGUCGUCAGCUCGUGUUGUGAAAUGUUGGGUUAAGUCCCGCAACGAGCGCAACCCUUAUCCUUUGUUGCCAGCGGUCCGGCCGGGAACUCAAAGGAGACUGCCAGUGAUAAACUGGAGGAAGGUGGGGAUGACGUCAAGUCAUCAUGGCCCUUACGAGUAGGGCUACACACGUGCUACAAUGGCGCAUACAAAGAGAAGCGACCUCGCGAGAGCAAGCGGACCUCAUAAAGUGCGUCGUAGUCCGGAUUGGAGUCUGCAACUCGACUCCAUGAAGUCGGAAUCGCUAGUAAUCGUAGACCAGAAUGCUACGGUGAAUACGUUCCCGGGCCUUGUACACACCGCCCGUCACACCAUGGGAGUGGGUUGCAAAAGAAGUAGGUAGCUUAACCUUCGGGAGGGCGCUUACCACUUUGUGAUUCAUGACUGGGGUGAAGUCGUAACAAGGUAGGCGUAGCGAG